GAUUUUCAGAGGGGUCAUAUUCGUUGCCGAACAGGGCGAAAGGGCCAAAGUCAUGGCGGUGAUCUCACGUUCUGACUUUUUUGAACAGAAUCAAAUUUGGCUGGUGACCUUGGCAAAGUCACCACUUUUGCGGUUGCCGAACAGGCCCCUAAGGAUUGACUCACGUAAGGUUGAAGGUAUACUCUCUCGUCGUCGGGACGUCUGUUAUUUCGAAGUCAUUUGAAAGAACGAAUACACUAGGCCUUUCGGGAGCUCCGCGACCCGACGACGUAACUUACUUGCCAGUAUUCUCGCUGUUGACCAAAGAAAUGAGGGAACAGAAGAGGAAGGAAAGCUUGAUUAUGCCUCCCAUUGUUGUGAAUGUUGUCAGAGCUACCUUGAAGAUAGAGAUAUGAUGUUAUUAUUCGGUA
rnacentral:sRNA from 1 species